CUGUUAAGGUUCGGCAGCACAUAUACUAAGACUGGAAUGAUACAGAGAAGAUUAGCACGGCCCCUGCAUAAGGACGACAUGCAAAUUUGUGAAGCGUUCUCUAUUUAA